rnacentral:lncRNA from 1 species
UUUUAAACCAAUCAAUCUUUCUUAUUUCGCCUCAUCGUUUUUAAUUAUGUUUUUAUCUUUAUGUAUGUGUUGUAGUGUUGUUAAUUGUUUUAAUACAUUUUCGUCAUUUACAUUCUAAUUGGAGUGCUGUGUGUUCAAAAUUUUAUACACUCCAUCAAGCUGUGACCAAGCUUCUAAUCGAGUGCCGUAGGAUAGUAUCAAUCACAAUAAAUUUAUUUUAUAACCUUAACAUCGAUUUCUCCCUUAAGUAUUUAUGAUCCAAAUCAUGAAUGAUCCUCCGUAUGUUACAGAUUUUGUGGAUCAUUGAUAACCGGAAGUUUUAGAUAAUGAAUUAGAGACUCAGAGUUAAGUAAAACAUGAAAUUUAUACCUGAAAAGUCCAUGGGAUCAGGAAAUUUUUUGAAUGUGAAAAGAAUUAUUUUGGAAUUUGAGUUUGUUUAUAAAUUAUUACAUCUCAUUAUAUAGGAAGUAUGAAGGUAAGCGUAAGUCUACUAUCCAAACUCUUAACAUACUUCAAAAUUUUAUUUAUAUGUUUUCAGCUCUGUUUUUUUAUUUAAUAUUUUUCUUUUUUGCAUUUUUGAUAUAAUAUUUUGAUGAAAUGCUAAUUUGUUUUUUUUUUUCUUCUGAAAUUGCUUGAUUUUGAACUUCGUCAGAAAUUGUGAAUAUUAGAACCCCAGUUUAAGUCUAUGACCCGAACACAUUAGUAUAUGCGUAUAGUUUUGAAAUUAAACUCUGAUACCUUGCAACUUGCAAGGGUGCAAUGAUGCGCACUUUCUGACAUUAUAGUAUGUUAACUUCUGGAGUCUGGACCGCGUCAGUGGUUUAUUGUGACUUCUGGAAUUCUGGACCAUGUCAACAGUUUAUAGUGACCAGCUUAGAUCAAAUAGGUGACUAAAAGUCAUCAUUUUAAACGUUAUAAAUUGCUGAAAUUUAGUGUUUGGUAUUUUGCAUUGCAUUUAUUGGUUGAACACAGGGGUGGCAAUCUCAGACACGACCCGAAACCCGACUCGAACCUGACCCAACCCGAAACCCGAUUUACUGAGACAGAAACCCGAAAGUGACCCGAAAAUCACCCGAUUGACCCGAAAUAGACCCGAAAUGACCCGAAAUUAGAAUUUUAUUUCUAAUAACUUCAAUUUUCAGUUUUAUUCAAUUUUAAGUGAUUUUAACUUAACCCGAAAUCGACCCGAUUGCUGACACGAACACGAUCAUUUGAAAGAUCAUCUUUGAUUCAGAUUGUAACACAAAUUUCUAUUACCAAAAUCACAAUCUGAUAGUGAUUUUGGUAAUAGAAAUUUGUGUUACAAUCUGAAUCAAAGAUGAUCCUUCAAAUGGAUAUCUUAUUUUAAUAUGUGUUCUACUUAUGAAUGAUACAUUAUUCAAACUAGGAAGAAUCCUUCAAACAGAUUUUGUUUAAACUAUUCUUCCGGAUCAUGAAUGAUCCUCAGAUUAAAUUCUUGUUAACUAUUCAUAUAAAUCCUGAAUAAUAAGCUGCAUCUUGUAUAUGUAUAUAUUGAUAGUGACAGAGGGCUCACUUCUAAAUAUCUUAUCUAUAUAUGCUCCGAUGCUCUAUAGAAGUAGGAAAAGAGAGUACUCUGCACUAGUGUUUAAGAGAUUCCAGAGAAUGAAGAGAGAAACUCCGAAAAGAAAGGCUAUCACUUGUACCACCGACAUACUGAUUCGGUCAGAGAGUCCUCCCAUCCCCGCUUGUCUGGCUGCCGAUGAGCUCACUCGACUUCUAACUAGGUCUGUCAUUUUUACACAUCCAACCCUAUUUUAUAAUAAGUAUUGUAUUUUGGGAAAAUUAAUUCAUUUGUUCCUGAACUGUAGGUCGUUAAUGGUUUAGGUCCCUAAACUAAAAACCCAAUUUUUUUUUUUGCCACAACUAAAAACCCAAUUUUUGAUACCUAAAUGUUUAAAAAAUCUGAUUCAAGUCCUUCCGUCAAAAUUUGACUAACGCUUGUUAGUCAUUGCUGACAUGGAAAUUGGAAAAAUAAAAGAAAAAAAAAUUAAAAUACGAGAAAUCAAAACUUCAAGGACUGAAGUGAAAUCUUGAUAUGUUAAUGUACUAGUGAUUUUAAAAAUACGGGUGGUGAAAGUUUUAGAUUUCGAGUUUACUAACAUAUAGAAAUAUCACUUUAAUCUCAAGAUCACGAAGAUAAAAACUUAUUAAAAUGCAGUUUUUUGUAUGCUGGUGAACUCUAAUCAGGAAUUUUCACUAUCCUUGUUCUUGAAAUGACUCAUAAAUGAACAUAUCAAAAUUUUAUUUCAUUCCAUGAAGUUGUGAUUUUUGUGUUUUCAAUUAUUAUUUUCUUUUGUUUUUUCAAUUUCUAUGUCAGUAUUAAGUAACGGCCGUUAGUCAAAUUUUGGCGGAGGGACUUGAAUCAGUUUUUUGGAAAGUUUAGAUAUCGAAGUUGGGUUUUUUUAGUUUAGGGACCUAAACCAUAAACGGCCUAUAGGAAUGAAUUAAUUUUCCUGUGUAUUUUCAGCUGAUAUAAGAUUACAUGUGUAUAUUUAUUGUGUGUGUGUAUAUAUAUGUGUGUACUUUAUGUAAUGGUCGUCUGAUGGAAUAAGCGAGGUGUACUUUGGAAGAAAAAUCACAGAAGUUCAGAGCUUGACAAAGAGGUUUGACAUCUCUCUCCACUGUCCUCCAAUGUGUAUUCUCUUUUAAAUUGGAGUCAUUUUGACAAAUAAAUGGUUUUCUUUAAAACAAAAAAAUACUAACAAUAUUUAUGCAUGUAAAUUGUAAAUGUAAUAGAGUCUAGUCAAUUUUGUAAAUGAAUACAAAUUCAGAAAGUAGUUUUAGGUUUUUGAGUUAUAUAAAUAUUCUAUUAUUAUUUAUUGUUUGGGAAAAUUAAUUUAUUAGUCCAUGACCUAUAUGUCGUUUAUGGUUUAGGACUCUGAACUAAAUAAGACCAAAUUUUUUUAUACCUAAACUUUUAGAAAAUCCGAUUCAGGUCCCUUUAUUAAAAUUUGACUAACUGCAGUUGUUCAAUGCUGACGUGGAAAUUGAAAAAAUAAAAGAAAAAAAUAAUUAAAAAUACCAAAAAUCAAAACUUCAGAGAUUGAAAUGAAAUUUUGAUAUGUUAUUCUACAAGUGAUUUCAAAACAAUGGUUGGUGAAAGUUUUUGAUUUCGAGUUCACUAACAUAUAGAAAUAUGCACUUUAAUCUCGAGAACACGUAGUUAUCAAGGCUUAUUAAUCUCAAUGAGGGGAGGAAGAGAAAUAAAGUCACUCAUUCUUCUAGCCCCUAUUUCUAUCACUCCAUUUUCAUGUCAUAUUGUCCACAGAUCCGGACCUUAUUCAAGAAUUCUGCAUACCAGACACCACAUCAAAUGUCACCCAAACAACAAGGUCUGGUAUGAUCCCAUGCGAAAAUCUGGUAGAUGUUAUCCCCGAAGAUUUUAUCUUCUCAGGUAUAGAACAUCCUGGAAAUUUAUCAGGCACUGGACUAUCAGCAAUAUCCGUGAGUCCACAAACUUUUCCAGGCCUCAACACCCAAGGCAUGUCUUUGUUGCGUGCUGAUCACCAUAAAGCCCCAAACUGAUAGGUGGGUAUUCCCCGAUACUGGUGAAGGCAUCAUUAUCCUGGCUGAAGGACGUUUGAUGAACUUGGGUUCUGCAACUGGUCACUCCAGUUUCGUGAUGUCUUGCUCUUUCGCUAACCAAGUGAUUUCUCAGCUAGAGUUGUGGAAUGAGAAGAGCUCCGGAAAGUAUGAUUAGAAGGUCCAUGUCUUACCCAAUCACCUCGAUGAGAAGGUUGCUGCACUCCAUCUUGAAAAGCUCGGUGCAAAGCCUACAAAGCUCUCCAAGGACCAAGCUGACUACAUCAGUGUUCAAGUUGAGGGUCUUCAAGAGUUAAAUAAUGUGAAAAACCUCUCUAUCAUUCUGCCUGUAUGCUUUCAUUUUGAAUAUGGACUCAUUGAUGUGGUGGAAGCAAAAUCUGCAAUGCCAGCUAACAUCUGUCAAGAUGUCAUCAAUCUGGCGAUGAUGUGCAGAUCUUAUCUUUCCCAUCUAAUAUGUAUGUACCAGUGUUAUGAUUGUGAGUACAUAUGUAUCUAUAUAAAAAGGAGAAGAGCUGGUAGGACGAAUGAAGGAAAAGGUAAAGAUAGAAAUACCCUUAACCACACAGAUGGCGCUAGACCCAUUUGAUGGAAACACGCUGAAUGUAAGUAAACUAAAAGUCUAGUAUAUCACAUGAUAUUUUAUAAAUUGGAGUAUCUCAAGUAGUCUGACACACAAAGUGCACUUUACUCUUAUAUAUAUAUAUUCAUAGAUAUUUGCGGUUUUCUUAUUGAACUUUGAUUCUAUUCCAUGGAACCUUAAAAUUUUAGGUAGGUUGAUCAAUCACCAUUGUAUCAUAAACCAAUAUAAUGUUCUUUUAAUAUUGAUACUUAGAGAAGGCUGUGGAAAUCAUUUUAGAUUACAUGUUUUUCACAUUAGUUGAAAUUCAGUACAUGCUGGCACAAAACUACAUCUUCACACAUCUUUCACAUUUAGGAAGUUUUUAUAUACCGGUUCUUGUUAUUCAACUUUCGUUAAAGGUAACAAAUAGGUCACUUGUGAGGAACAUUAUUAUAAAAUUAUUAAGCUUUAAGGAACAGUAUUGCAAAAGCUGAAACUCUAGGUGAACAAAUAAUGUUGUAGAACUUAAUUUUGGAGGGACACUUCUCUUAUCUACCUUACUAGAUUACUUAAGGGUUAAAUAUCAAAGUGGUCACUCAAGUGGAGGUCAUAUAUCACUUUGCUUACUAAUCUUAACGGGGUCUCAUUUANAUAUCUAAUCCGGUGUUGUUCGCUAUCAAUGGAUUGGGAUGUUUUAGUGCGGCAUAUAUUAGAUGCCAAAACGACGAACCAACUCAGGUUUUAAACCAAUCAAUCUUUCUUAUUUCGCCUCAUCGUUUUUAAUUAUGUUUUUAUCUUUAUGUAUGUGUUGUAGUGUUGUUAAUUGUUUUAAUACAUUUUCGUCAUUUACAUUCUAAUUGGAGUGCUGUGUGUUCAAAAUUUUAUACACUCCAUCAAGCUGUGACCAAGCUUCUAAUCGAGUGCCGUAGGAUAGUAUCAAUCACAAUAAAUUUAUUUUAUAACCUUAACAUCGAUUUCUCCCUUAAGUAUUUAUGAUCCAAAUCAUGAAUGAUCCUCCGUAUGUUACAGAUUUUGUGGAUCAUUGAUAACCGGAAGUUUUAGAUAAUGAAUUAGAGACUCAGAGUUAAGUAAAACAUGAAAUUUAUACCUGAAAAGUCCAUGGGAUCAGGAAAUUUUUUGAAUGUGAAAAGAAUUAUUUUGGAAUUUGAGUUUGUUUAUAAAUUAUUACAUCUCAUUAUAUAGGAAGUAUGAAGGUAAGCGUAAGUCUACUAUCCAAACUCUUAACAUACUUCAAAAUUUUAUUUAUAUGUUUUCAGCUCUGUUUUUUUAUUUAAUAUUUUUCUUUUUUGCAUUUUUGAUAUAAUAUUUUGAUGAAAUGCUAAUUUGUUUUUUUUUUUCUUCUGAAAUUGCUUGAUUUUGAACUUCGUCAGAAAUUGUGAAUAUUAGAACCCCAGUUUAAGUCUAUGACCCGAACACAUUAGUAUAUGCGUAUAGUUUUGAAAUUAAACUCUGAUACCUUGCAACUUGCAAGGGUGCAAUGAUGCGCACUUUCUGACAUUAUAGUAUGUUAACUUCUGGAGUCUGGACCGCGUCAGUGGUUUAUUGUGACUUCUGGAAUUCUGGACCAUGUCAACAGUUUAUAGUGACCAGCUUAGAUCAAAUAGGUGACUAAAAGUCAUCAUUUUAAACGUUAUAAAUUGCUGAAAUUUAGUGUUUGGUAUUUUGCAUUGCAUUUAUUGGUUGAACACAGGGGUGGCAAUCUCAGACACGACCCGAAACCCGACUCGAACCUGACCCAACCCGAAACCCGAUUUACUGAGACAGAAACCCGAAAGUGACCCGAAAAUCACCCGAUUGACCCGAAAUAGACCCGAAAUGACCCGAAAUUAGAAUUUUAUUUCUAAUAACUUCAAUUUUCAGUUUUAUUCAAUUUUAAGUGAUUUUAACUUAACCCGAAAUCGACCCGAUUGCUGACACGAACACGA